rnacentral:misc_RNA from 1 species
UCAGAUCAAAGGUAUAUGUUUCACCUAAAUUGUGGUACCUGAGAGUCAAUAUCAUUGAAUCACAAGAUGUAGAAUCUCUGGACAAAACCCAACCACCACAGGUAUUUGUUAAGGCUCAAGUUGGGAAGCAAGUACUAAAGACCAAAGUAUGCCAAACACGAACAACUAAUCCAUUCUGGAAUGAAGACCUAUUAUUUGUGGCGGCAGAGCCUUUUGAGGAGCAAUUGGUGCUUACCGUUGAAUGCAAAGCCGGACCUUCCAAAGAUGAGAUAGCCGGGAGGUUAGUCUUGCCACUUAACACAUUUGAGAAGCGAUUGGAUCACCGGCCAGUUCAUUCUCGCUGGUUCAAUCUUGAAAGGUUCGGGUUUG